rnacentral:rRNA from 1 species
UAUCCUUAUUUGCCAGCGCGUUAUGGCGGGAACUCUAAGGAGACUGCCGGUGAUAAACCGGAGGAAGGUGGGGACGACGUCAAGUCAUCAUGGCCCUUACGGGAUGGGCUACACACGUGCUACAAUGGCAGGUACGGAGGGCAGCAAUACCGCCGAGGUGGAGCGAAUCCCACAAAGCUUGUCGUAGUCCGGAUUGGAGUCUGCAACUCGACUCCAUGAAGUCGGAAUCGCUAGUAAUCGUAGAUCAGAAUGCUACGGUGAAUACGUUC